CGCGGAGUAGAGCAGUCUGGUAGCUCGCAAGGCUCAUAACCUUGAGGCCGCGGGUUCGAAUCCCGUCUCCGCAA
rnacentral:tRNA from 1 species